GAAAGGCUUGGUGGAGAAGACCGUGCUACUCCAAAGAUGGUUUUGCAGAUAAUGAAUGUGAAGGGUCUUACAAUAUCUCACGUAAAGAGCCAUCUUCAGAUGUACAGGAGCAUGAAGCAUGAGCAGAUGAUACAAGAAGCGGUUUUGGCAGCUCAGAGGAACGAUAAGGCACCAGGAAUUCACUAUUCAAACUAUUUCUCACACCGGGACUCUAUGAGCUGCCUGGAGAAUCAUCACUUGGAAGACCAGGGAUUAAAUAACAAUUUACUACCCUAUCAAGACCAUGGAACUCAUAACCCCAGUUACAAGCAUGCUCUUAAGAAUACCAGCAUGCCAGCACAAAGGAAAGAAAAGCAAGAGAUGUGG
rnacentral:misc_RNA from 1 species